ACAGGAAGCCUGUGAUGUCCUAGCCAUGAUGUCUGAACCUGGCUGAAGGACUCUUCUGAAGAUGAACCCUUAGGCUCUGAGGCUUCCAGGGGA
ensembl:snoRNA